rnacentral:rRNA from 1 species
AUACGUAGGACCCAAGCGUUAUCCGGAAUUACUGGGCGUUAAAGAGUUGCGUAGGUGGCAUUAUAAGUGGAGCGUGAAAGCGUGCGGCUCAACCGCAUUACUGCGUUCCAAACUGUGAAGCUUGAGUACGAGAGAGGUAGAUGGAAUUCCCAGUGUAGGAGUGAAAUCCGUAGAUAUUGGGAGGAACACCGAUGGCGUAGGCAGUCUACUGGCUCGUUACUGACACUAAGGCACGAAAGCGUGGGGAGC